rnacentral:rRNA from 1 species
UACGUAGGGUGCGAGCGUUGUCCGGAAUUACUGGGCGUAAAGAGCUCGUAGGUGGUUUGUCGCGUUGUUCGUGAAAACCGGGGGCUUAACCCUCGGCGUGCGGGCGAUACGGGCAGACUUGAGUACUGCAGGGGAGACUGGAAUUCCAGGUGUAGCGGUGGAAAUGCGCAGAUAUCAGGAGGAACACCGGUGGCGAAGGCGGGUCUCUGGGCCGUAACUGACGCUGAGGAGCGAAAGCGUGGGGAGCGAACAGG